GACGAACGCUGGCGGCGUGCUUAACACAUGCAAGUCGAGCGGUAAGGCCCCUUCGGGGGUACACGAGCGGCGAACGGGUGAGUAACACGUGGGUGACCUGCCCUCAGCUCUGGGAUAAGCCCGGGAAACUGGGUCUAAUACUGGAUAUGACUCCAUGACGCAUGUCGUGGGGUGGAAAGCCUUGUGCGGCUGAGGAUGGGCCCGCGGCCUAUCAGCUUGUUGGUGGGGGAUGGCCUACCAAGGCGACGACGGGUAGCCGGCCUGAGAGGGCGACCGGCCACACUGGGACUGAGACACGGCCCAGACUCCUACGGGAGGCAGCAGUGGGGAAUCUUGCGCAAUGGGCGAAA
rnacentral:rRNA from 1 species